CCUACGGGUGGCAGCAGUAAGGGAUAUUGGUCAAUGGGGGAAACCCUGAACCAGCAACGCCGCGUGAGGGAAGACGGUUUUCGGAUUGUAAACCCCUGUCCUCUGUGAAGAUGAUGACGGUAGCAGAGGAGGAAGCUCCGGCUAACUACGUGCCAGCAGCCGCGGUAAUACGUAGGGAGCGAGCGUUGCCCGGAUUUACUGGGUGUAAAGGGUGCGUAGGCGGCUUGGCAAGUCAGUAGUGAAAUCCAUGGGCUUAACCCAUGAACUGCUAUUGAAACUGUCGAGCUUGAGUGUGGUAGAGGUAGGCGGAAUUCCCGGUGUAGGGGUAAAAUGCGUAGAGAUCGAGAGGAACACUAGUGGCGAAGGCGACCUGCUGGGCUUUAACUGACGCUGAGGCGCGAAAGCGUGGGUAGCAAACAGGAUUAGAUACCCCUGUAGUC
rnacentral:rRNA from 1 species